AGGUGCGAUCAUACCAGCACUAAUGCACCGGAUCCCAUCAGAACUCUGCAGUUAAGCGUGCUUGGGCGAGAGUAGUACUAGGUUG
rnacentral:rRNA from 1 species